rnacentral:rRNA from 1 species
UACGUAGGGGGGCAAGCGUUUGUCCGGAUUUAUUGGGCGUAAAGAGCGUGUAGGCGGCCUUACAGGUCAGCUGUGAAAAACUCGAGGCUCAACCUCGAGACGUCGGUUGAAACCGUAAGGCUAGAGUCCGGAAGAGGAGAGUGGAAUUCCCGGUGUAGCGGUGAAAAUGCGCAGAUAUCGGGAAGAACACCCGUGGCGAAGGCGGCUCUCUGGGACGGUACUGACGCUGAGACGCGAAAAGCGUGGGGGAGCGAACAGG